GGCUGGUCCAGUGGUGUUUACAACAAAUUGAUCACAACUAGUUAUAGAUUUAUUUGUUCCUUCUCCAUUCCCACUAUUUCACUUGCCUAGCUUAAA
rnacentral:Y_RNA from 1 species